AAUAAAAAAAUAAAAAAAACUAACAAAAAAGAAAAAAUAAAGUUUAAAUCAAUUGUAAGCAACAUAAAUAAGCUGCAAGUCUGAGUAAUUAUUGUUAUAGACUCCUCAUUUCUAUCAUGUUUAAGUUUAAUAUUAUCUCUCUAAAAUAUGUUACUGAAAUAUGUUGUAGCUUUUCAUUUAUCUCUCUAUAUUUAUUACUAUUCUUUUAAAUGUGUGGGAAUGUAUAAAUAACAUUUAUAAAGUCUUGUCUGUCAUAUAUUGUGAGACGAGGGCUGGAUGUGAAUCUGAGGAGGAGGAGUUUAUCACAGUCAUUGAGAGAUACAAUAAAGGACUGUAAACAUUUCACAAAUCUCUUCGGAUCAUCUGAUGUUUCUGUGUGUCUCCUGUUCAAACCUGAAUAUUGAGUCAACAUGUUGAUCUAUUUAAUCAUAUUGAUAUCAUCAGCUAAAGGUUCCAGAGCUGCAGAAGUCAUCACACCAUACAGAGCUCAUGAAUUUGCUGUUGAGGGUGAAAGUGUGACACUCUCUUGUAGCUACACCGGUUCUGUUCGAGGUCUUCACUGGUAUCGCCAAUACGCAGGUUCACCACCACAGUUCCUCAUAAUGGAUUACUAUGGGAAAGUUACUGAUGCUGAUCCUCCAGUUUCUGGAAUCUCAAUCCAUCACAGAAAAGACAACAGCAGUGUGGAUCUGAAGAUCUCUUCUGCUGCUGUAACUGACUCUGCUGUGUACUUCUGUGCUCUGGAGCCCACAGUGACAGGAAAUCCAGUGCAUGCUGUACAAAAAGUGUUUAACUGGGAGAAAGAAAGCGAGGUGCCAUUGAGGUUUUAUGUACGCUCUAAAAUCACACACUUAAGAUAGUCUAUUCU